UGCUAUUGCACAGUCCUGCAUCCCUCCUAGAUGAUGUCAUCCUCAGGAGUCAAGUUUCUGGCCAGGGGAGCAGAUUUGCAGAAGUAAAUAAACUGGAACUAAAACCAUGAAACGUUAAAGAGACAUUCAAAUUUACACAGCCCAUGAAUAACGGAUAAUCUCCGCUACGAAGUGUCCCUUAAAAAUAUAAUAUCCGGUCAGACUGACCCAGGGAAUUGAAACAGUAAACAGCAAAGAGAAAAGCUCUCAGCAACACCAUCUAGGAACAGAGGGGAUGGCGGAAAAUGAAGGAGAGGGUUAGAGGCCUUGAGUUACCAUUUCUAAAGGUCUUUCCCAUGUUGCCUUAAGAUCAAGGUGUAGAUGCUCAUUCUCCAGCAUCCUGUCUGCCUGCGUGAAAGCAAGCUUCCCACUCUGAUGAUAAUAGACUGAACCUCUGAACUGGAAAAGCAAAGACAAGGUGUCACUCCAUGUUCUACCUGCUGGAGGAAUUUCAGUCCAUAACAGAGCAGAAGAGGACUAAGAGCAGAGAGAAAGAAAAGAAGAUUGCCCUUCUAAAAGCUGCAAUCAGUAUUCUAGUGUGUGCAAACCACAUUGGAUAAGGAAACUUCAUUUGACGAUCUACAUACUUGAAGAACAAACUUCUUCUCAGCUGGAAUCAUGGACCAAAUUGUCCCAAGAACCAUAUGGAAAGUUGCAACCUGGACCAGUUGGACCUUCCUCUUAGCCUGGAACACCAGAACACCUUACAGAGUUAAAGUAUCAAGAGUAUUAAGAUAUGAACUUAGGUGCUUGCAAAACUCACUGGCAAGCCAGUAAGACAAGUACAAGAGAGCCAACACCAGGGCCUACUGAAUUUAAGAACCACUGCUCCUGGAGUGUGUUUUAUUAGGCAAAUAAAUUAUACCUAUCGAUUUUGAUCACUGUAACUCUAUCAUCUGAAGAAGCCUUCCAGAGAGUUUUGAGGACUAUGUCACUUUAAAUAUCAUGCCAGCUGCU
rnacentral:lncRNA from 1 species